GAUUAACGCUGGCGGCGUGCAUAACACAUGCAAGUCGAACGAUGAAACUUAACUGAUUUCUUCGGAAUGAUUUUAAGUGGAUUAGUGGCGGACGGGUGAGUAACGCGUGAGUAACCUGCCUUGGAGAAGGGGAUAGCCUUUGGACACGAAGAAUAAUACCCUAUGAUAUGAUAAUAUCUCAUGAUAUUAUCAUCAAAGAUUUAUCGCUCUAAGAUGGACUUGCGUCUGAUUAGUUAGGUGGUGAGGUAACAGCUCACCAAGGCAGCGAGCAGUAGCGGGCUGGUGAGAGGGCACGGCCACAUUGGGACUGGGACACGGCCCAGACUGGUGCGAGAGGCAGCAGUGGGGAAAUUUGCACAAGGGGGGAGACCCAGAUGCAGCGAGGCCGCGUGAUUGAGAAGGCCUUCGGGUUGUAAAAAUCUUUUGUAUGGGAAGAAAAUGACGGUACCAUACGAAUAAGGACCGGCUAAUUACGUG
rnacentral:rRNA from 1 species